GUGGGGAAUCUUCCGCAAUGGACGAAAGUCUGACGGAGCGACGCCGCGUGAGUGAAGAAGGCCUUCGGGUCGUAAAGCUCUGUCAUCAGGGACGAACGGCCGGUGGAGUGGAAAGCCACCGGAUUGACGGUACCUGAGAAGGAAGCCACGGCUAACUACGUGCCAGCAGCCGCGGUAAUACGUAGGUGGCAAGCGUUGUCCGGAAUUAUUGGGCGUAAAGCGCGCGCAGGUGGGAUCUUAAGUCCAUUUUUAAAGUUCGGAGCUCAACUCCGUGAGGGGAUGGAAACUGGGAUUCUUGAGUACCGGAGAGGAAAGCGGAAUUCCCCGUGUAGCGGUGAAAUGCGUAGAUAUGGGGAGGAACACCAGUGGCGAAGGCGGCUUUCUGGACGGUGUCUGACACUGAGGCGCGAAAGCCAGGGGAGCGAACGGGAUUAGAAACCCUUGUAGUCC
rnacentral:rRNA from 1 species